UACAGCGGUGGCAAGCGUUGUUCGGAAUUACUGGGCGUAAAGGGCGCGUAGGCGGCCAUCUAAGUCAGCCGUGAAAUCCCCCGGCUUAACCUGGGAACUGCGUCUGAUACUGGACGGCUUGAGUAUGGGAGAGGGAUGUAGAAUUCCAGGUGUAGCGGUGAAAUGCGUAGAUAUCUGGAGGAAUACCGGUGGCGAAGGCGGCAUCCUGGGCUAACACUGACGCUCAUGCACGAAAGCGUGGGGAGCAAACAGG
rnacentral:rRNA from 1 species